rnacentral:rRNA from 1 species
GCUGGGGUGGAUGAGUGGCGAACGGGUGAGUAACACGUGAGUAACCUGCCCAUCACUCUGGGAUAAGCGCUGGAAACGGCGUCUAAUACUGGAUACGAGCAGCGACCGCAUGGUAGCUGUUGGAAAGACUGGUUCGGUGAUGGAUGGACUCGCGGCCUAUCAGCUUGUUGGUGAGGUAAUGGCUCACCAAGGCGACGACGGGUAGCCGGCCUGAGAGGGUGACCGGCCACACUGGGACUGAGACACGGCCCAGACUCCUACGGGAGGCAGCAGUGGGGAAUAUUGCACAAUGGGCGCAAGCCUGAUGCAGCAACGCCGCGUGAGGGAUGACGGCCUUCGGGUUGUAAACCUCUUUUAGUAGGGAAGAAGCCUUCGGGUGACGGUACCUGCAGAAAAAGCACCGGCUAACUACGUGCCAGCAGCCGCGGUAAUACGUAGGGUGCAAGCGUUGUCCGGAAUUAUUGGGCGUAAAGAGCUCGUAGGCGGCUUGUCGCGUCUGCUGUGAAAACCCGAGGCUCAACCUCGGGCCUGCAGUGGGUACGGGCAAGCUAGAGUGCGGUAGGGGAGAUUGGAAUUCCUGGUGUAGCGGUGGAAUGCGCAGAUAUCAGGAGGAACACCGAUGGCGAAGGCAGAUCUCUGGGCCGUAACUGACGCUGAGGAGCGAAAGCAUGGGGAGCGAACAGGAUUAGAUACCCUGGUAGUCCAUGCCGUAAACGUUGGGAACUAGAUGUAGGGCCUGUUCCACGGGUUCUGUGUCGUAGCUAACGCAUUAAGUUCCCCGCC